AAAUUGGAGGAUAGAUUUGACUGAUUGCAACCUCCCUCUCUUGAACAUGUUUCAGGAACUAAAAAAUGCUAAAAAGUGGUGU
rfam:Muricauda lutaonensis strain CC-HSB-11, complete genome.